UAGGGAAUCUUCGGCAAUGGACGGAANUNUGGACCGAGCAACCCNGGCGUGAGUGAAGAAGGUUUUCGGAUCGUAAAGCUCUGUUGUAAGAGAAGAACGAGUGUGAGAGUGGAAAGUUCACACUGUGACGGUAUCUUACCAGAAAGGGACGGCUAACUACGUGCCAGCAGCCGCGNUAAUACGUAGGUCCCGAGCGUUGUCCGGAUUUAUUGGGCGUAAAGCGAGCGCAGGCGGUUAGAUAAGUCUGAAGUUAAAGGCUGUGGCUUAACCAUAGUAGGCUUUGGAAACUGUUUAACUUGAGUGCAAGAGGGGAGAGUGGAAUUCCAUGUGUAGCGGUGAAAUGCGUAGAUAUAUGGAGGAACACCGGUGGCGAAAGCGGCUCUCUGGCUUGUAACUGACGCUGAGGCUCGAAAGCGUGGGGGAGCAAACAGGAUUAGAUACCCUGGUAGUCCACGCUGUAAACGAUGAGUGCUAGGUGUUAGACCCUUUCCGGGGUUUAGUGCCGUAGCUAACGCAUUAAGCACUCCGCCUGGGGAGUACGACCGCAAGUNNG
rnacentral:rRNA from 1 species